rnacentral:rRNA from 1 species
AGAGGUCCCGAGCGUUGUUCGGAUUCAUUGGGCGUAAAGGGUGUGUAGGAGGCUAGGUAAGUCAGGCGUGAAAUCUCACCGCUUAACGGUGAAACUGCGUUUGAUACUGCUUGGCUAGAGGGUCGGAGGGGGAAGCGGAAUUCUUGGUGUAGCAGUGAAAUGCGUAGAUAUCAAGAGGAACACCGGUGGCGUAGGCGGCUUCCUGGAAGAUUCCUGACUCUGAAACACGAAAGCUAGGGGAGCAAACGGGAUUAGAUACCCCGGUAGUCCUAGCCGUAAACGGUGUGCAUUAGGUGUGUGCGGAUUCGACCCCGUACGUGCCGUAGAUAACUCAUUAAAUGCACCGCCUGGGAAGUACGGUCGCAAGAUUA